rnacentral:rRNA from 1 species
CAGGCUUAACACAUGCAAGUCGAGGGGUAUAGUUCUUCGGAAUUAGAGACCGGCGCACGGGUGCGUAACGCGUAUGCAAUCUACCUUUCACAGAGGGAUAGCCCAGAGAAAUUUGGAUUAAUACCUCAUAGUAUGGCAGUUUCGCAUGAAACCACUAUUAAAGUCACAACGGUGAAAGAUGAGCAUGCGUCCCAUUAGCUAGUUGGUAAGGUAACGGCUUACCAAGGCAACGAUGGGUAGGGGUCCUGAGAGGGAGAUCCCCCACACUGGUACUGAGACACGGACCAGACUCCUACGGGAGGCAGCAGUGAGGAAUAUUGGACAAUGGGCGCAAGCCUGAUCCAGCCAUGCCGCGUGCAGGAUGACGGUCCUAUGGAUUGUAAACUGCUUUAUACAGGAAGAAACACUACUUCGUGAAGUAGCUUGACGGUACUGUAAGAAUAAGGAUCGGCUAACUCCGUG